AUAGACAAAAUAGUACAGGAAGGAGGAGGCGGUCAAAGGGAUCAGAGUUCGACUUAACCUAAACCAAUUCCACAUGCCUCACGAACCAUUAGCUGUUUUCUAUUUCCUGUGUUGAAAUCUUAAGGAAAAAUAACCAAGGCAAUGAAGAGCUUUGCUUAUUUUUUUUUCUUCCACCAGCUGCUGUGUUAGCAAAUAGAAUUGAUAAGACAGCUUUGAAUAACUGUGGCCCUCACUAAUGCAGUUUGAAGCUUAACUUGUACUUCCCUUCUGUUGCAAGAUGGAAUCAAUUCUAACAUUUUUUUUGGCUACAAUAGAACGUUUCUGGAAAUAAUCACCCACUUAAUGCAGAAAAGAGAACAUUUUUCAAUUAACUAAAUGACUUGACAUUUCCAUGUCUAUAUUUUCCUUCAUUCACACAUUUUAGUAUUUAAAGUGACAACAUCUUGCUUUGUUCAUAAUUACUUAAAUUGCUGGUUGAAAAACUCAUUAAGCAAAAGUUUAUAUGACAAUCAGUAAUUUACUUAAAUAAUUUAAAGGACAGCAAUUUCUGGCCAUCCCUAAUCUUCAUUGAGAAGAUGGUGAUGACAAUCUUCUUAAAGUGUAAUAGUCCUUUUCAUGAGGUACUCCCACAAUGUUCUUUUAGGAACUAGAGUUUCAAUGCUAGAUGUGCCACUGCUAUAAUGUAGUGGUGAAAUAGCUUGCCAUUUCCCCGGAUGCACAAAAGUCAAUCAUUUUGUUAAUCACAAGACAGUGUAGUUUGAAGGUGAGAAGUAGAAGAUUCAAGGGAGAUCUUAUGGGCAUUUUGUUUAUAUACAGAGAGUGGUUGACAUCUGGAAUGGGCUGUUAGAGGACGUGGUGGAAUCAGAUACAAUUACUGCAUUUAACAGGCGAGGAAAGGAGCAACAUCGACCUAAUGCAGGUAACAAGACUAAAAUUGAAGAUUUUAUGAAAGGAUAAGUAAACAAAUGCAUCACUACGUUUUUUACAUUCAAGACGAUGCAUGAAGAACUAGAAUGGAAUCGAAGAUAUAACUGGAAAAGUGAACUAAAAAUAGUUCAAGCUCAGAGACACACAAGACCAUUAAAGAGAACAUUUCACAGACACCUUUUAUUGCCUUCUGCAAAUUGACAGAUUGUAAUUCAUUCCUUUAUAUAAUACAGCGUUAUAAAAGAGCUCUGACUUGGCUUGGGAACUGUAAGGCAUCGGUCCAUCACGGAUAAAAGGAAUUCCAGAAAACUUGUAAUCACAAUAGCAUUCGACAAGGUUACUUUAACCAAAGGAUUUCUGGAGAAGUUUUUAAGAUUUUAUAAAAUGCGGGUAUGUUUUCUAAACUGCCGUGUAUGCUUUUCCUUUCUGUGAUUAAACUUAUACUUAAUGUUCUGC